GAUGAACGCUGGCGGCGUGCCUAAUACAUGCAAGUCGAGCGAACGGACGAGAAGCUUGCUUCUCUGAUGUUAGCGGCGGACGGGUGAGUAACACGUGGAUAACCUACCUAUAAGACUGGGAUAACUUCGGGAAACCGGAGCUAAUACCGGAUGAUAUUUUGAACCGCAUGGUUCAAAAGUGAAAGACGGUCUUGCUGUCACUUAUAGAUGGAUCCGCGCUGCAUUAGCUAGUUGGUAAGGUAACGGCUUACCAAGGCAACGAUGCAUAGCCGACCUGAGAGGGUGAUCGGCCACACUGGAACUGAGACACGGUCCAGACUCCUACGGGAGGCAGCAGUAGGGAAUCUUCCGCAAUGGGCGAAAGCCUGACGGAGCAACGCCGCGUGAGUGAUGAAGGUCUUCGGAUCGUAAAACUCUGUUAUUAGGGAAGAACAUAUGUGUAAGUAACUGUGCACAUCUUGACGGUACCAAAUCAGAAAGCCACAGCUAACUACGUG
rnacentral:rRNA from 1 species